GCAUAUUUAAGAGGCUUAUUUCAUUACCUAUUUCCCCUGAGUUCUUUUCUCCUCCCAUAUAGACUUGCCUAUCUAUAUAUGGCCUUAAUUUCUAGACUAACAAGUAGUUUUUUAUUCUGCCUCAUUUACCGAAUGAGCAUUCCCUUGUUACCUUGCCCGAGGUCAUGCAUGAGUUCCCAGAAAAUUGAAAGUUAGUCUGCAUUCCCUGGUCACAUCCUACCCAACAAAGCAGUUUCACUGCAGCAUAGAAUCCCCUGGUGCAUAAUUGAGACCUAACUUCAGACUUCUAAACAGGGUAAUGUCAACUCCCUCCUCCAGCUGUUCCAGGCAGUUAUCUUUACCAGCUGUUUACCAUCGUCAACAAUGACAUACUUCUGCAUGUCUGAAAUAUGUGAAACUUCAAAACGGCCCUUUCAUGUUUCUACCCAAGAUUAUCCCUUAACUCCAAGAGAAGAGUGACACAAUCAGUCUUUGUCACCAUCAUAUGCCUGGCUCCUAGAAGACUGAAAGAUGAUAAUGAGUAUCUGUUGAAUGAAUGCCUGUAACCCUGAAGGUCACCAUUAAAGGACAACAGACAACUUGUCCUCAAACAUAAGGAAGUGCAACUAAAGAGACUAUCAAAAAAAAAAAAAAAGAAACCUCAGCCCUUUCACCCUCCCUUUCAACCCAAAGUCAGCAAAUACAGUGUUCAUUAAGUUGUGAGUGAAAUUUCAAAAUUGUCAGCAACAAAAAUAUUUUGUGUACCUACCACAUUAAAACACACUUCUAGGUGCCAGGGGAAAUAAAACUUCUAUAUGUUAAAGUUCUGACUCCUCAGAAGCUCACAGUACAGACAUAAAAUUCCAAUACAAAGCAGGCUUUGCAAAUAAUGGAAUGGAAACACAAAGUUUUG
rnacentral:lncRNA from 1 species